AAAGAAAUGAAUCUGGUAAUAUUGAGUGCCCUGACAGUGAGCUUGAUAAACUUCAUUCGAAUUUUUGUUGGGAACAAAAUUCACCUGGCCUUUCUCCAACAGAGUUUGGAAAUUUGUCACCUGAUCUUAGGGAGUUCAGAAAUUCACCCCCUCUUGUUUUUCAGUCUAAUGAGUGUACGACUCUUCCUUUAACAGAAUUUGAGAUUUCUCUGCAGCCACCUCAAGUUGCAAGCACAUCUGCAGGAGACAUUAUUGGAGCUUAUAAAAUGCAAGUGGAUUUUCAUGGUUUUUAUGUACGAAACCAUCUUAUCCCUUACCUAGAAUGCAUUUAUUUGAAAAUGGGUGAGUUUUGGAGAGAUUCCAAGAUACGGAAUGCUGAUACGGUAACAUCACUUUUAAAUGGACUCGGAGAGGCAUUGUACCUGAUGAAGCACAGAAACUUGGAGUCAUUAAAUAUAAAAGAAUUAGAGGACCUAAUGAUUUACAUUGUGGAUGCUUCAAAUGCUGGGUUCAAGUUGGAUUGCCUGCAAUUGCAACCUAUUGCAUGCAAAGCAAAGGAAGCGUUGAGGGCACUGGACCAGUGUAAUUCUUUGGAGAAGCAGAAGUCUUCUUUAGAAUGUCAACUGCGAGAGGUAGAAUCUGAAUGCCAGAAAGCAGAGGUUGAGCUACAAAAUCAUCGUCAAGAGCUUGUAUCUCUCACUGAAGGACUUGUUUAUCAGUUUAUACCGUAAAUAUUUAGCUAGUAUAUUUGAAUUUGGUUGGUAUAAUGUGGUUUAACUGAUAAUAUAGGCAGAAAUGAAGAGGAAAAUAUCAUAAAAGUUAAUCACACUCAAAUUAUUGCUAGUUUUAUAUUACAUUUUCUCUCUUAAACCCCUGUUUGGAUCAUGGUAAGCCAUGGUUUAUUAAUGUAGGAUAUGAUUCUCAAUUGUGUUCGGGAAGAAUGGCAAGUCAUGGUCAUGGUAUUCCAUGGUUUAAAAACCAUGAGAUUUAUCAAGUUUUUAAAAUCAC
rnacentral:misc_RNA from 1 species